UAAUCUAUUUGAAGCAGUUCCUCAUCUAAUUAUAACAUACCUACGUGUAACUAUCUAGAAUCACCCGUUAUCACCUAACUGUGUAACAUUAGUUUCAUGAUAAUUGGUC
rfam:Populus trichocarpa isolate Nisqually-1 chromosome 16, whole genome shotgun sequence.